rnacentral:lncRNA from 1 species
AAAGGGUCUAUUCACUGUGCUAGAAAACUAUCUGCAUUAUGGUUCAAAAAGACUGAGUGCCAUAGCUAAAAGCAUCUUUGAAAUGUCAAAUGCCAUACCAGUUUACGCUCAGUUUAACGAAGGAGAAAGAAUGCUUUUGUGUGUCUGCAUGCAGCUUGUCCGACCUAUUUCUACAGCCCAAGCCGCCUGCUGCACCACAUCAGUAAUGAUAGUUCUCCGUGGGACCUUGAUACUCGCCAGGGUACCUGCCUGUCCAACUGGACCCAGCCUGAUGACAGAUGCUUGUUUGAAUGAGAAGAUGAUGGCACUAUACAUGCUGGUAAAGAAGUUUGGUACAGACGGAUGUCCUCAAAGAAGAAAACUGGAAGAUGAAAUAUUCUUAAAGACAAUGGAGGCUAAAAAAAAAAAAAAAAGACAAUGGAAGCUAAGCAAACAAGUGACACCACAGGCACACAGGACAGCCAAAGAAACAGGGACGCAGAGAACAAAACAGUCAAUGAUUUCUCCAGUGGGAGAAGAACCUUCUCAAACAGUUUGUCCACCAGGCACAUAUGGGAAGGACUGUAAACAGGUAUGUCAGUGUUCAGCUGAGAAUGAAGAGUGUCACCCAGUCACAG